rnacentral:rRNA from 1 species
CUACGGGGGGCACCAGUGGGGAAUAUUGCACAAUGGGCGCAAGCCUGAUGCAGCGACGCCGCGUGAGUGAAGAAGUAUUUCGGUAUGUAAAGCUCUAUCAGCAGGGAGGAUGAUGACAGUACCUGACUAAGAAGCUCCGGCUAAAUACGUGCCAGCAGCCGCGGUAAUACGUAUGGAGCAAGCGUUAUCCGGAUUUACUGGGUGUAAAGGGAGUGUAGGUGGCUUUGUAAGUCAGAUGUGAAAGCCCAGGGCUCAACCCUGGGACUGCAUUUGAAACUACAUGGCUUGAGUGCAGGAGAGGUAAGUGGAAUUCCUAGUGUAGCGGUGAAAUGCGUAGAUAUUAGGAAGAACACCAGUGGAGAAGGCGGCUUACUGGACUGUAACUGACACUGAGGCUCGAAAGCGUGGGGAGCAAACAGGAUUAGAUACCCGAGUAGUC